GCAACUAAUUCAUUUCUUGGAGGUAAAUAUUCCUUGUUUUCGCUACAAUUAAUGUAUUCAUCUCUCCAAGCACAUAAAUUUGGAAAAUUUUCUUUUGUAACCAAAACUUCUCCAGAGGCUUCUUCAAAAACUCCAACCCAAAUUCCCACAAAAUUAGCAGCAAUAUCAGCAAAUCCAAAUUUGUCACCAACAAACAACUUCUUGUCCUUUAACUCAUUAUCAAGAAUUUUCAAUAUCUCAUAAGCUUCCUCUUUAGCUUUCUCUUGUUCCUCUCCUUUCAAAAAGAAACUUUUCCCUACUGGUGCCAUCUGGACAACAAUAUAAUCGAAAUUUAAUUUGUAUAAAAUAAUAACAAUAACUACGCAUCAGUCCUAUAUAGAUUGUGAUUAUUAAAUAUAUGAAUUCUUACUGAUUGAGUGAUUGUAAUAUUUUAAUUAAGCUUGUCUCAGUCUAAUAUUAUUAUACAAGUAAUAAUAUUUCUCUAUAUUUUCUACUCUUAUAUAAACCUAUGUCAGGACAAAAAAAAUUGAGAAACAUAUUACAUGUUUCAGUUUGUUUGAGUUGAAAAAAUUUAUAUAUUUAGAAAUUACAUAAAAAAAAAUAAGAGAAAUUUUUGAACUGUCUUAAUAGUAACGGCCACUAAUAAAUUGAAACGAAGGGAGUACUAAAAAGAAUAUACCUUAUCAUCAAGGAACUUAGCCCAGAAACGAGCAAUAGCUCGAUCAUAAGGGUCUUUAGGCAAGAUGGAAGGGCCUUCAAAAGCCUCAUCAAUGUAUUCAACAAUUACCAUGGACUCACAAAUUGGCUUGCCAUUAUGAAUUAGUACUGGAACUUUUUUGUGAAUUGGGUUGGAUUCAAGAAGUAGAGAGCUCUUAUUAUGUAGAUCAUCUUCUAUGUAUUCAUAUUCAAUACCCUUAAUCUUGAGAGCCCAUUCAACUCUAUGACUAAAAGGGCUAUACCAUAAACCAAGUAACUUAACAUCUACCAUCUCUCAACUUUGGUUAACUUUGUUUCUAUCUUUACUAUAAUAUUCGAGGGAAUUGUUAUGUGGUUGUUCUCCCUUGAGGUGUAGCCUUGUUUUAUAGAGGUAAAAGCAGGGAAGUUUUUUUUUUUUUUUUUUGGUUUCUCACACGAUGUUCGGAGUCUACAUUGGAGCUCCGACUAAAUUCGAAUUGCGCUCUGCAGAAUUAGAGGCGAAGCAAAGAUUUCUAAUAAGGGAGUUCAAAAUCUGAGAAGUAAACACACGAAUUAGUGGAAGGAGAUUCGGCAUCUAUUUUACAUACCUAAAAAUUAAUUUUAACCAUAUAUAAAUAGUAAUAUUUUCCACCGAAGGGGUUCGUAUAUUCUACCUCCGCCCCUAUGCAGGAUCCAUUUCAGAAUUUUUUUCAUACCCAGAGCUUGAACCCAAAACUUUUCAUUAAGGGUAAAACAAUUCCACUACGCACCACAACCCACGUUAUCAAACCUCUGUUGAUAACGGGGAAGUUUCUAGCAAUAUACCAAAUGCAAUAAUGUUGAUUUUUCUUUGACAGCUUAGUUUUGUAAUUUAGUAAUGUUUCCAUGUUUACUGAAGACUUGGAAAAUUAUUAUUGGUAUUCCUCUAUGUGAAGAUAAGUGCUAUAUCUUUGGGAAAAAAAAUAUUAUCUCGAAAUAAACGUCAUCUUAGGAUUCAAGACAUAAAAUUAUUACUACUAUGUUUUUUUUUUACUACUCAUCUUGUUAGUAGUGUGUUUUCAAAAAUUAUUUAAUAAAAUAUAGCUAUUAUAUUUAUUAAUUUCUUAAUGAAUACGAUAUUUACUAGGGUGAGGAAAUAUUAAAUACUUAUGAGGUUGUAAUUUAAAGUUCUAUUCAUUAAAAUGGUGCCAUAGUCAAUUUGGAUUAAAUUUUGGGGCUCAAUUAGUGAUUUCUUGGAUAUCUUUUUCCGUGGAGGAAUAUUUCUAAUAUAGGAAAAAAGGUUAAAUGUGCCCUUUUAACUCCGUGAAAUAGUCUUUUAUUAAAUCCAAUGAUUUUAGUCAUCAUUUAGCGCAAGUAUAUAUUUUUGCUUAGUUGGCUUUCUGUAUUGGAGUUUAAUUUCUUUGGAUAAAUAUAAAGAAGUUUUCAUUUUAAAUUUAGAAUUAUUAAAAAUUUAUAUAAUUUAAAUCUUGAAUUUGAUUGUAAGUUUUGCCUAACAUUUUCUUAAUGUUGAUUUGUUCCACAUCAGUAGUAUUCUCCUUUUUCUCUAGGUGACAUAUGUGCUCACGUCACCCCUUCUUCUUCUUCAAAAUGUCUUACUUCAUUUCAACUUAUUUUUUAUUUUAAAAAAUAUUCGUCCAAAAAAAUAAGUUAUCUUUUUUUUAAAAGAUAAUUUUUUAAUUCUAAUUUUUUUUUAUCCGAUAAUCCUGUGGGAACUUUUUAAUUCUAAUUUUACAUAAUAUAUUUAAAUCUAUAAAAUCAAAAUAUUAUGAUAUAUUUGAUAUAUCUUUAAUUAGACAAAGUAAUAUAUGAUUAUAUUCAACUCCCUAGAAAUAUAGAAGGCCAAUAUAAAAAUGCUUUCACAUUAGUCAUUAUGAGUCACAAGUCUGUUCUUGUUCUUUUCAAAUCGAUGAGAAAAUUAAUGUAGUAAUUAAUUAAUUGUUUUACAAUUAAUUGAUACAUUUGAUAUAUCUAGCUUGAUUGAUUAACUAUUUAAAAUUUUAUAUUAUUAGUAACGGUUUGAUCGUACUUUCUAAUUACUAUUCCCAAUUUUUAUUUUUAUUUAAAAAAAAUCAGCAACGAAAAGACAAUUCAUGACCUUACUAAAUUUUCUAACAAAUACUUUAUUCAUAUGUGAAAACCGAAAUAAAGACAAAUCUAAUUAUAACAUGCAUUUUAUUUUCUUAUCCCUAGUUCAACCGAAAAUCAAUUUCAAUUGAAUUAAACAAAAACUCAUCCUAAAUCCAUUUCUAAUUUUUAUUGCCACACAAAAUCUUGAAAUUCACUCAUUUUGAAGCAGUAACACGUUGAAUGUAAACUUGGUAAUGGGCAAGUAAUUCAUCUCUUGGAGGUAAAUAUUCCUUGUUUUGUGUGCAAUAUUCAUCUCUCCAACCACAAAAAUUUGGGUAUUUUUCUCUUGUCACCAAAACAACUCCAGAUAUUUCUUCAAGAACUCCCAACCAAAGGGCUGCAGCAUUUGCAACAAUAUCAACAAAUCCAAAUUUGUCACCAACAAAGUACUUCUUAUUGUCCUUGAGCUCAUUAUCAAGAACUUUCAACAUCUCAUAAACUUCCUCUUUACCUUUCUCUUGCUCCUCUCCUUUGAAAAAGAUACUUUUCCUUAUUGCUUGGCCCUACAUAAUACAUAAUUAAACAGACAUUAAAAUUCGGCCUCAAUCGAUAAGUAAGCACUUCAACUUUAAAAAGUGCAUAUCUAGACAAUUCAAUUUGAUCUCAACUGACAAUUAAACACUACAACUCAUCCAUAUAUCAAUAGAUUUUGGAGUUGUCAAAAUGAUCAUAUUAUAAGUUGGAAUGUUCAAUAUAAUUGACACAAAGACGAGAUAAGAUGUCUAGAUGUGUGUACUCUGUUUAGUUACAUGUAAUUAUAAAAAGCAUAUAUAAGACCUAAUAAAGUUAAUAUAUCAUGAAGGCAAUAUACCUUAUCUUCGAAGAAUUUAGCCCAGAAACGAGCUAAAGCUCGAUCAUAAGGGUCUUUAGGUAAGAUUGGAGGGCCUUCAAAUGUCUCAUCGAUGUAUUCGAGAAUCACACUUGACUCACAAAGGGGCUUGCCAUUGUGAAUGAGCACAGGAACUGCCUUGUGAAUUGGAUUAGAUUGAAGAAGUAAAGAGCUCUUAUUUUGUAGAUCAUCUUCUAUAUAUUCAUAUUCUACACCCUUAAUCUUUAGAGCCCAUUCAACUCUUUUACUAAAAGGGCUAUACCAUAAACCAAUCAACUUAACAUUAGACAUCUCUCAAAUUUGGCUAACUAUGUUUUUGCUUUACUAAUUGAGGGAAUUUGUAUGUGGUUGUGAUCUCCCCUUGAGGUCUAGUGCCUUCUUUUAUAUAGGGAAGUUUCUUAGCAAAAUCCAGCAAAUGCAUUGAUGUUUCCAAAGUAUUUUGUUUUGACACUUAAAUAUAUGUUUUGUUUAACAAAUGGCACAUAUAUAAGUCACCAUUUUACACAAUACUUGUCAUCUACUCUCACCGUUGUUAUUUGUAUGUCACCAUUUUAGUUUUCACAUCUCUUAAGAAAUUAAGUAAAUUUAUUAUGUAUUCUUAUUUAAUGUUCUCUUAUAGUCAAUUUUUUAAUAAAUAAACAUAAAUUAAUUUAUUUUAAUUGAUUUAAUUGACCAAUAAACAUGAAGUAAUCAUUUAAUUUAGAUUAGUUUUAUUAAUUCAGUUUGUUGAUGAAAAUGAUAAAUAUGCAUUAUUUAUUACUCCCCUCGUUCCUAUUUAUAUGCUGCUGUUGUUAUUAAAAAUAGAUGAGCUUUCUUAAUAUUUAUUAUUUUAUAAAAUCAAUGCAUAUAUAUAUAUUUCCCUAUAUUAUACACACUAUUUAUGGAGUACUUACUUAAUGGGUGGCAGGUUAACUAAUUAAUGGUGUGGGUAGAGCUGGCCUCAACGAUCAAGUUUUUUUUUUUUUUUUUUUUACGGCUUCAAUGAUAACAUUAAAUUAUUAUCUUUUUAAAAUUUUGUGUCAAGUUAAAAUAAGAUAAAUAAUUUAAUUCGGACAAAAGUAGUGUAUCAAGCUUUCUUUCUCUUAACAAUACUUUUAUUUAUACGUGAAUCCAAAAUUUAUAUUAACUAGUGAAAUAAAGAUAAAUCUUAUAACAUGCAACUUUAAUAUAUUUCAAUUGAAUUUACAAAAACUCAAUUUUUAUUGCCACACAAAAUCUUGAAAUUCACUUGAGGUAUACUCAUUUUGAAGCAUCAACAGGCUGAAUGUAGGCUCGGUAACGGAUAAGCAAUUCAUCUCUUGAAGGAAAAUAUUCCUCGUUUUGUGUGCAAUAUUCAUCUCUCCAAGCACAAAAAUUUGGAAAUUUUUCACUUGUUACCAAAACAACUCCAGAUACUUCUUCAAGAAUUCCCAAAUAAAGUGCUGCACCAUUUGCAACAAUAUCAGCAAAUCCAAAUUUGUCACCAACAAAGCACUUCUUGUCCUUGAACUCAUUAUCAAGAAUUUUCAACAUCUCAUAAGCUUCCUCUUUAGCUUUCUCUUGUUCCUCUCCUUUCGAAAAGAAACUUUUC
rnacentral:lncRNA from 1 species